UCAUUGAUUGCAAAUCAAGUUCGUGUUGUGAUUUGUGUAUAUACAUCUAUAAAUUAUGUUUUUAGUUUCUAUAAAAUAAGACACAAACAAAUGUAAAUGUAAUAAAUUGCAAGUUAAUGAUAUUGACAAGAAACUUUCUUAAUUAGUUAAUUAAUCAUUCUUAAUUAAUACUACGUUACAAAAGUAGUGUAUAAGUUUUCUAAGCCUUAAUUGUUCAUACCUUAUAUAAUUUAAAUUACGACUAUUUCUUCGAUUGUCUCGUUAAAAUUAUUAAACUUAAUCUUAAACCAAAAACAUUUGAAAAUGUAAGAUAUGAGUAGGAUAUAAGAGAAAUUGAGAAAAUAAAAUUUCAAAGGAAAUUAAAAUAUAAAUAAAUAAACAUAGGUAAGCAAAUUGAUUAAUGUUAAACCCUUGAAUUUGUAUUAAAAAUGAAUUUGCGUAAGUUCUUCUAAAAGUACAAAAAUAUCGAAACGAAAAAAACUAUAAUACUAACCGAUAAGUCCUAACUCUAGCCUUUUUUUAUUUAGUACAAAAAAAACUUUCUUGAACUAGAAUAACUGAAUUUUGAUAAAUCCAUAUUUCUUUCUUCACCGAUCACAUCAUCCGACCGAAUUUGAAUAUUUAAUUUAGUAUUACAUUAAUUGGCUAGCUGCCUCUAGCCCUAUUUAAUUUAGUCCAUAAGUAAAGCAAAGUUCUUGAAAAAAAAAACUUUUUAGGGAGUAAGUUUUUAAAAGUGAUUACUUGUUUUUAUCUUGAGACUAACUCAAUUUGUAUGAAUUCAUAUUUCCUUCUUCACCAAUCACACCAUCCACCUGGAUUUGCAGUUAAAUUUCUGGUUGUUCAAUAAAAUAAAAUUAGUAAAAUACUUUCAUCGUGUUAUAUCUACGUUGUAAAAUCUGUUUUUAUUAAAUACAAAUUGGAGUAAUGUGAAACAUUAUUCUUCACUCUGCACAAAAUCAGUAAAAUAUCCUCAAUCAAACAAUCAAAUGGCACCCCAUCUUCAUAAUCAAAACUGUUCUAAAUUUAUACACUACAUUAUGUAUACAUUGAACAUAUUUCAAAUUUCAUUUUUAGUAUGUAAGCAGAAUCGGUUCAUUAAUUAAAGUACAUUUUAAUAAGUAAAUAAAAUAUGCGGACAUAUGUAUAUGCAUAUAUAACAGGAGUUUAUUAUUUAAUAACAAUAAGUAGAGUAGCAGUCUACCAAAAAUCAAUUUCUAAAUUCAUAUGAUAUUUAUCUAUUGAAAAAUGUUUGAUUCUUAAAUUCUUAAUUUUAAUUUAAUUCCAUAACAUAAACCUAGAAUUAUGUGUUCUUAAAAAUAGUUCACCCUCUCAUCUUUCUGAUCCUAGAUGCUAACAAAUAUUUUUAACCCCUGUUCUGAGUUACUUAAAUUUAAUUUAAUUUAAUAUAAAGACACCAUCAAUGUUAAAAUUAAGUUAUUUACUUAUGUUUUUAAUAUUUUAUCUAACUACUACUAUCUACUAAAAUCUUACAGAUCUGUGUUACUUGACGAAGAAAAGUGGUGUUAAACUUAUUCGUGGAAAUAAAGGCAAACCAAAACUUAUUGUCGGUGAGUUUUCGUACUUUCGGAACAACAGCAAAGGACACAAAACUUAUUGGCUAUGUUCUAAGAAUCGUUACAAUCGUUGCAAAGCGAGGCUUAUAACAUCUAGUCAAACUGGUGAAUUAAUUAUCAAACACCAGGAGCACAACCAUCAACCGGAUACUGAUUUAGAAAGGAAGACUUUUGUAAGAGUGCAACAGAAAUUUUAAGUACAAAAUAAAAUAUAAUUGUGUUUACGUUCAAAUAAAUGUCAGCUUAUAUAAAAUUGUUUUUAUUUAAGAAAUAUUAAUAAAUAAGAAAAUUUUGUGUAUGACGAUAGAUUGGAUGAAAUGUAUAAUUGUGAUUACUUGCCUGAAAUUGUUCAAUAUGAGAGAGGUCAACGAGGUGCUAAGAAGUUGAUUUAUUGUGGGCACGCUUACGUAUGCGCCAAGGUAAAAAAGCUUCGAAAAUAUUGGAUAUGUGCAAAACAACGUUCUAAAAACUGCAAGGCAAGAAUUGUAACGAAUCUUGAUGAAAGUCAAUUUAGCAUGCGGAAUAUGACCCAUACACAUCCCAAGUCUGAAAAAUACAUAAACUAUUAAUUAUACUUAAUUUUGAGUUAAAUAAAAUAAUAAACCAAUUAAUUGGUAAACUUA